UAGGUAGGAGUUGGUGACCCAGUGGGAAUGAACAUAGCCCACUACGCAGCCUCAGGCCUAGGAGGAAUCAGAACAGCCGGAGACCUAGUCGCCAGAUGC
rfam:Euryarchaeota archaeon HMET1 HMET1_1, whole genome shotgun sequence.